rnacentral:rRNA from 1 species
UGUCUAAACGACUUUUGGCAACGGAUAUCUCGGCUCUUGCAUCGAUGAAGAACGUAGGGAAAUGCGAUACUUGGUGUGAAUUGCAGAAUCCCGUGAACCAUCGAGUCUUUGAACCCAAAUUUCCCCCCAAACCAUUAGGGCCAGGGCACCCCUUCCUGGGCGUCAAACG